rnacentral:rRNA from 1 species
CCUACGGGAGGCAGCAGUGGGGAAUAUUGGGCAAUGGGCGCAAGCCUGACCCAGCAACGCCGCGUGAAGGAAGAAGGCUUUCGGGUUGUAAACUUCUUUUCUGAGGGACGAAGAAAGUGACGGUACCUCAGGAAUAAGCCACGGCUAACUACGUGCCAGAAGCCGCGGUAAUCCGUAGGUGGCAAGCGUUAUCCGGAUUUAUUGGGUGUAAAGGGCGUGUAGGCGGGAAAGCAAGUCAGAUGUGAAAUCUCAGGGCUCAACCCUGAGACUGCAUUUGAAACUGUUUUUCUUGAGUGCUGGAGAGGUAGGCGGAAUUCCGGGUGUAGCGGUGAAAUGCGUAGAUAUAAGGAGGAACACCAGUGGCGAAGGCGGAUUGCUGGACAGUAACUGACGCUGAGGCGCGAAAGCGUGGGGAGCAAACAGGAUUAGAUACCCUGGUAGUC